ACCCCCUGGCAAUGGGCAAAGAGACACCAUGUUGGUGUUGUUGCUCUUAUAUUAGUCAGGGGCAGAGCAGAUGGCAGUCCUUGUCAUCCUACCUUGAUGCCUGGCUUGGUGGCCAAAGCUGUCUUAUGCCUAGGACUUAUAA